GAUGAACGCUAGCGGCGGGCUUAAUACAUGCAAGUCAAGGGGUAGCAAUACACCGGCGUACGGGUGCGUAACGCGUAUGGAACCUGCCCUUAUCUGGGGGAUAACUCGGGGAAACUCGAGCUAAUACCGCAUAAGAUAGUAGAAUGGCAUCAUUCAGCUAUUAAAGAUUUAUCGGAUAAGGAUGGCCAUGCGUAAGAUUAGAUAGUUGGUGGGGUAACGGCUCACCAAGUCUACGAUCUUUAGGGGCUCUGAGAGGAGAAUCCCCCACACUGGCACUGAGAUACGGGCCAGACUCCUACGGGAGGCAGCAGUAGGGAAUAUUGGGCAAUGGGCGGAAGCCUGACCCAGCCACGCCGCGUGCAGGAAGAAGGCCCUCUGGGUUGUAAACUGCUUUUGAUUGGGAAGAAAGCAUCUCAUGCGUGGGAUUUUGACGGUACCAAUCGAAUAAGCCACGGCUAACUUCGUGCCAGCAGCCGCGUAACAC
rnacentral:rRNA from 1 species